rnacentral:rRNA from 1 species
GAGUGAAGCGGCAACAGCUCAGAUUUGAAAUCCGGCGCCCCCCGGGGCGCCCGAGUUGUAAUCUGCAGAGGGACCUCCUGGCGCGGCGCCGUCCGAGUUCCCUGGAACGGGACGCCUCAGAGGGUGAGAGCCCCGUACGGUCGGACGCCCAGCCUGUGUGGAGCCCCUUCGGCGAGUCGAGUAGUUUGGGAAUGCUGCUCAAAAUGGGAGGUAUACGCCUUCUAAAGCUAAAUACCGGCCAGAGACCGAUAGCGCACAAGUAGAGUGAUCGAAAGAUGAAAAGCACUUUGAAAAGAGGGUUAAACAGUACGUGAAAUUGUUGAAAGGGAAGCGCUCGCGGCCAGACUCGGGCCCGGCGGAUCAUCCGGCGCUCGCGCCGGUGCACUCCGCCGGGCUCCGGGCCAGCAUCGGCCCGCGGCGGGGGACAAAGGCGCCGGGAACGUGGCUCCCCAGGGAGUGUUAUAGCCCGGCGCGCAACGCCCCGCGGCGGGCCGAGGUUCGCGCGUCCGCAAGGAUGCUGGCGUAAUGGCCACCAGCGACCCGUCUUGAAACACGGACCAAGGAGUCGUCUUCGCAUGCGAGUGUUCGGGCGUCAAACCCGUACGCGCAAUGAAAGUGAACGCCGGUGGGAGCCCCUCGCGGGGCGCACCGCCGACCGAUCCUGAAGUUCUCGGAUGGAUUUGAGUAGGAGCAUGCGGGGCCGGACCCGAAAGAAGGUGAACUAUGCCUGUGUAGGGUGAAGCCAGAGGAAACUCUGGUGGAGGCUCGCAGCGGUUCUGACGUGCAAAUCGAUCGUCAAACAUGGGCAUGGGGGCGAAAGACUAAUCGA